CAUCCUAAGGGGAUAUGUCUUGUGAAUUUGUGAUAACACAGUCACAGAAUCAGUGCGCUACGUUAUGAUUGUGAUAUUUCUUACGUAAGAUACCAUUUUUGUUAUACUCCCCGAACAGUCGGGGAGGGAACGAAGUGCAAAUAACCUGUAAUGCUGGGAUAGUAUGGGAUCGUGCAGAAGACAGUGACUUGGCCGAUUCCGGUAACCCGG